GGUCCGGCUGGACGGUCCGCCUUACGGUGUGCACUGCCCGGCCGGUCCUUACCUCCUGGUGGUCCCGUAUGCCCUUCAUCGGGUGUGCGGGGGAACCAGGAACUUUACCUUGAAAAAAUUAGAGUGUUCAAAGCAGGCAAGCGCCCGAAUACAUUAGCAUGGAAUAAGAGAAUAGGACGU
rnacentral:rRNA from 1 species